AUGCAAGCUUGUCAUCGAGGGCAUUGGGAGGUUGUUCUGGUUCUCCUGGUCUUUAGAGCUGAUAACUUGGAUUUGAUUAUCUUGGAAGCAAAGAGCAACUUGUCAUGAAUUUACAAGCAAACUAGAAUAUUUAAACAGUUGUUCCCUUCUUUUUUUUCUUUCACCUUUUUCUUUCUUUCCAUUGUGUUUCUUUUUUUCCUUCAUGGAUUACAAGCGAAUUGGAAUAUUUAAACAGGCCUUUGAGUGUCGACUUGGAAAUGGAAAUGAAUGUAACUAUUUUG